rnacentral:lncRNA from 1 species
UCGCGUACACUGAAGUGACGAAACCCAUUAAUAUUUUGUCGUAUUAUUGUACUAAAAGAAAUACUACAUCUCAUAUGGAGAAAUAAAUAAAUGACAAAUUAACUAGGCAGUGCAAUAAUUCAACGUGUCAGUGCGUCACGCCGGUCUCGGCAGAGCCGUAGGCAGAGUGAUGCCAUCACCAGCACCCUCAGUAUCAUUCAUUCAUUCACUUCUGUCUUCUUCCCUCUUUCUCUCUGUUUCUCUCUCUCACACAUCCAUCAAUCAAUCGACCUAUAAUUUAAAUCAAGCAACAGAAGAGGUAGCCAAGAAGCCAAAGUAUAUGGUAAAGAGUGGGCAGAGCACCCAAAAAUCCAUUUCUUAAUUUCCCAAACGGAUGCCAGAAAAGAAAAACUAAUAUGACUCGCUCUAUCCUCAUCCACAGCUUCACCUUCCCUUCCUAUUUCCAGCUUUCACAUCGUGUCGCCACCGGAGAUCACAGCAGAUCCGUCCAUCUCCCGCACCUUAAAUGAGAGACCCGGAAAAACCUCUCCGAAAUCACUAGUAACCCCCCAAAACAAGGUAAAAAUAACAAAAUAUAAACUAUGUACAAGAAAAGGAACACAUCCAUUCUCUACUUUCAUCUCUCUCUCUCUCUCUCUCUCUCUCUCUCUCUCUGCCGAUCUUGCUUCUUUCCUUCUCGGCGUUGAGAAGGGAAUGAUCGAACAAGUGCUUGUUCUCAAGGGUAGUCUCGCCAGCAGAUGAGCAUGAUGACGCAGCGGCGCAUGAUGUAGAACCUGGCCCUCUGUUCUUUUACGAGGCUGGCGCACCGGCUCGAGAAGGACCGCAGCGAGCCCGAGCUCGAUUUGCCCUCUCUCAUACUCGCGGACCCCCUGAGGAAGGGCCCGCCUUCGCCCACCACCACCCUCCUGCUCGCGCUGCAGCUGCUAUUCCUGAUCCCCUUCUUCGGAAGCUUCCAUUUCUCGUCCAUGUACAGCUCCAUAUAUAAGAUCUACCCUUCUCUUCCUUUCCUCCCCCCCUGCUUCUUCACUGGAUCUGGAUCGGAUCUCUUUUCCCUUCUUUUUGAUAGGUUUUAUAAAAGGUGGAAUGGAUUUGGUGUAGAAAGAGUGUGAGAACGGGGUGUAAGAGAAAUGGGCAGAGAAUAGGAGAGAAAGAGAGAGUGAGAAAGAGCGGAGGAGCUAGCAGACGACUUGGGUUGGUUUAUGCCUUUGGGACUGGUUAAGGUGCCGUGAGGAGAAGUGGGAAGUGCGGGGUUUGGAUAUUUAUAGAGGGGUAGAGAAGGGUAGGGUUGGGUAUAGUGAUAAGAGGCGCUGGAGAUAGGUGGUGGGAAGUGGGUAUCGCCUGGGUCCUUCUGCCUCGAGAGCCCCACUAUUUCUUACCUUUGCCAUUCUUACUCUGCUUUCUUUUCCAUUACUUGAACGAGAUGGAGUCUGGUCCCGAUACCAACGCAAGGGUUUAGAUUAAAACUAAAGAGUAGAGAAGACAUCGAGAUCUCAAACACCUACUGUUCUUCCUCGUUGCAUGGCCCCGUCUCCCAAGCGUGACGCGGCCCUCCUACAUCUACCUUCAAAACGAAUUAUCUUUUUUGAUAAAUAAAACGUUAUUAAAAUCAUCAGUUAAUGAAGGCUUUUCCUUUUUUUUUUUUUUGCCAUAACGUAUCAAGCUCAAUCAGCUACAGAACCCCCGUGCGGGUAAAAGUAAAUUCAGUAGGACCCAGGGCCACGUGAGGUGGUACAUACGUAAUAGUAGCUGGACUAGCUAGCAACUGCGACCAGGAUUUAUGCUCUAGCUCGACGGACCCAUCUCGUUGCCAAAUGCCAACUAUUUGGCGUCGCGCGUACCUGUCGGGUGGGACGGCACCCAUAAUUAAUCAAGUUUCCUACGGUAAAUACCAACUAUAUUCUAACGCUUUCUCAGUAAACGGCCAAAAAGGAUCUUCUCUCCUUCCAUCCAAAACUCCUUUAAAUUCACCAUAUAGCGGCGUCUCGCUGUCCUCAAUUGCUUCUCCCAUUGUUACUCUGCGCGACAGGGAAUUUACUUCCGUGAAGGGCACUAGCCGCUCUCGAGUUCUCCCUGGAAGAAUCCACUCCACUGCUGUUCCUCCCACCC